UACGGAGGGUGCAAGCGUUGUUCGGAAUUACUGGGCGUAAAGGGCGCGUAGGCGGCCUCCGCAAGUCAAUUGUGAAAUCUCCGGGCUUAACUCGGAAAGGUCAACUGAUACUGCGGGGCUAGAGUGCGGAAGGGGCAACUGGAAUUCUUGGUGUAGCGGUGAAAUGCGUAGAUAUCAAGAGGAACACCUGCGGCGAAGGCGGGUUGCUGGGCCGACACUGACGCUGAGGCGCGAAAGCUAGGGGAGCAAACAGG
rnacentral:rRNA from 1 species